rnacentral:ncRNA from 1 species
CCGCCCCCGACGACAAGGUAGCCAAGUGUGGCUGUCUUUCUCGAAAAGAGAAUAGUCGGGGGUGUUUUA